AAUUGAUGACAUUUGGUUCCAAGACUUGCUCUUUUCUUUGGCAAGUCUUUUAUGCCAGGAUCUUAAGAUGAUACAUGAUUCUUUCUUCUCCUUUACAUCCUGCAAACUUGAACCAAUGUGAACCUGGAUAUUCGCUGUAUCUCCUAUUUUCACUUUUGGAGCUUGAAGAGAUGCAAAUCAUUACAUGGAAAAAUCUUUAGGGCUAUACAAAACUUGGGAGAACUAAUUUACCAAAGUGAAAGUAUAUAAUUAAUCAUCUUUCAGUACUAAAUGCCUGACAAGAUGAUCAACUUUCUCAUGUUUUCAAAAAGCAAAUGGUGUAAUUCAAAACAAUGUCAUUCUAGUAAGAGUAUCAUGGAAUUAGGUUUGCUUGAGCAUUGCAUGCUUGAGUAAAUGAAAUAAUUUUUGGGUUUCAACUAUAUAACUACUGGAAUAACUAGGGGAGCACACACCCGAGUUUAAGCACAACCUUGUUACUGCAGAGUCAAUGCUGCAUGGUCAUCAUGGAGUUGAGACACUGCAAUAAGGAAUGCAAGAGUUCUGAUAAAGCAACCUGAUAUACACUAUACAGGAACAUGCAUGUUUAGUGUUUUAGCCAUAUGGGUUGUACAUAGUACAUGCCACGAGAAAGAUGGACUGGUCACUUGAUAUAUAGUAUAUCCAGCAGUGAAAAAGAAAAAGUAUUUUAAGUUAUUAACAAGCACACACAAAAUAUUAAAAUGUAUCAGUAGAAAGUGGCUUAGGUGAUGGGUCUAAAGAUAAAUAUAUAUGAAUCUUGAGAGUGCAUUACUGCCGAAGACAGAGAGCAUCUGAAGGCACUAAGGAGGCCAAUGAAUGGAAGCUAUGAUUUCUAGAUGCUGGUGAAGAUACAGAUAGACAUGGUAGCAAGAGGCAUUGUCUAGAGGCAUACCUCAUGUUUAUGAGAGCAUCCAAAAUGAAGUCUUUAUUCUAUUUUUAAGAAUUUUGAGGCUGACGGCUGACUGUCCAAGCAUCCUUGAAAUGAUGAUGUUGAUGAUUUAAACAAAUAAGAUAGUGGUGAGAUGAAUAAUUUAGCACAGUUGAGCAUAAUGGGAGUAGCCUUCUAGUAAUUUUGACUGACAACAAACUAGCUUGGCAGGUGCAUGUAGUACUUCGAUAUAAGGUUACAGUCAAAUAUUUAGUACCAGAUUUACAGGCUCCAGAGCUGACAUGAAACAAGACACAAAUAUUAACCAUGUGCAGGGAUGAAAGUAACUCUUGUCGAAGAGAUCUUUAAAUGCUGAUAGGGGCAUGAGCAAGGACAAGGUUGAGAAGCUGAUGUGGCAUGGAGGUGGCCAAAUGGUCCCAAUGUCAAGAGAACAUCAAGGAAAUGGAACAAGGGCUGCAAAUUUAGGUCAAAUACCUGGUGCAGUUAUGGUUGUGGAAGUGAUGAUAAUAAUCAAGACACAAGUAGAGUCCACCCAUUUCCUAGAAUAAAUGAAUUGUCGGCUUGUGAUGAGGAUAGUGAUGCCAUUCUCCCAUGGUGCUUCUAUAUAAUUGUAGAUAUGAUG